rnacentral:misc_RNA from 1 species
UUUCCGUAGGUGAACCUGCGGAAGGAUCAUUCAUAAUAAGUGUUUUAUGGCACAUUUUUAAAUCCAUAUCCACCUCGUGUGCAAUGUCAGGGUUGAUUUUUCUCUCGAGAGGAUCAACCCCAAACAUCAACUAUAUCUCAACUCUUUGUCUGAAAAAUAUUAUGAAUAAAACAAUUCAAAAUACAACUUUCAACAACGGAUCUCUUGGCUCUC